rnacentral:rRNA from 1 species
GACGAACGCUGGCGGCGUGCCUAACACAUGCAAGUCGAACGGAGUAGAGACUUCGGUUUUUACUUAGUGGCGAACGGGUGAGUAACGCGUGAGAAACCUGCCUUUCAGUGGGGGACAACAGUUGGAAACGACUGCUAAUACCGCAUAACAUAUCGAGGGGGCAUCCCUUUGAUAUCAAAGCUUUAUGUGCUGAAAGGUGGUCUCGCGUCUGAUUAGCUAGUUGGUGAGGUAACGGCUCACCAAGGCGACGAUCAGUAGCCGGUCUGAGAGGAUGAACGGCCACAUUGGGACUGAGAUACGGCCCAGACUCCUACGGGAGGCAGCAGUGGGGAAUAUUGGGCAAUGGGGGAAACCCUGACCCAGCAACGCCGCGUGAAGGAAGAAGGCCUUCGGGUUGUAAACUUCUUUUACCAGGGACGAAGAACGUGACGGUACCUGGAGAAAAAGCAACGGCUAACUACGUGCCAGCAGCCGCCGUAAUAC